rnacentral:rRNA from 1 species
GGGACACGUGGUAUCCUGUCUGAAUAUGGGGGGACCAUCCUCCAAGGCUAAAUACUCCUGACUGACCGAUAGUGAACCAGUACCGUGAGGGAAAGGCGAAAAGAACCCCGGCGAGGGGAGUGAAAAAGAACCUGAAACCGUGUACGUACAAGCAGUGGGAGCACGCUUAGGCGUGUGACUGCGUACCUUUUGUAUAAUGGGUCAGCGACUUAUAUUCUGUAGCAAGGUUAACCGAAUAGGGGAGCCGAAGGGAAACCGAGUCUUAACUGGGCGUUAAGUUGCAGGGUAUAGACCCGAAACCCGGUGAUCUAGCCAUGGGCAGGUUGAAGGUUGGGUAACACUAACUGGAGGACCGAACCGACUAAUGUUGAAAAAUUAGCGGAUGACUUGUGGCUGGGGGUGAAAGGCCAAUCAAACCGGGAGAUAGCUGGUUCUCCCCGAAAGCUAUUUAGGUAGCGCCUCGUGAAUUCAUCUCCGGGGGUAGAGCACUGUUUCGGCAAGGGGGUCAUCCCGACUUACCAACCCGAUGCAAACUGCGAAUACCGGAGAAUGUUAUCACGGGAGACACACGGCGGGUGCUAACGUCCGUCGUGAAGAGGGAAACAACCCAGACCGCCAGCUAAGGUCCCAAAGUCAUGGUUAAGUGGGAAACGAUGUGGGAAGGCCCAGACAGCCAGGAUGUUGGCUUAGAAGCAGCCAUCAUUUAAAGAAAGCGUAAUAGCUCACUGGUCGAGUCGGCCUGCGCGGAAGAUGUAACGGGGCUAAACCAUGCACCGAAGCUGCGGCAGCGACGCUGAUGCGUUGUUGGGUAGGGGAGCGUUCUGUAAGCCUGUGAAGGUGUACUGUGAGGUAUGCUGGAGGUAUCAGAAGUGCGAAUGCUGACAUAAGUAACGAUAAAGCGGGUGAAAAGCCCGCUCGCCGGAAGACCAAGGGUUCCUGUCCAACGUUAAUCGGGGCAGGGUGAGUCGACCCCUAAGGCGAGGCCGAAAGGCGUAGUCGAUGGGAAACAGGUUAAUAUUCCUGUACUUGGUGUUACUGCGAAGGGGGGACGGAGAAGGCUAUGUUGGCCGGGCGACGGUUGUCCCGGUUUAAGCGUGUAGGCUGGUUUUCCAGGCAAAUCCGGAAAAUCAAGGCUGAGGCGUGAUGACGAGGCACUACGGUGCUGAAGCAACAAAUGCCCUGCUUCCAGGAAAAGCCUCUAAGCAUCAGGUAACAUCAAAUCGUACCCCAAACCGACACAGGUGGUCAGGUAGAGAAUACCAAGGCGCUUGAGAGAACUCGGGUGAAGGAACUAGGCAAAAUGGUGCCGUAACUUCGGGAGAAGGCACGCUGAUAUGUAGGUGAAGUCCCUCGCGGAUGGAGCUGAAAUCAGUCGAAGAUACCAGCUGGCUGCAACUGUUUAUUAAAAACACAGCACUGUGCAAACACGAAAGUGGACGUAUACGGUGUGACGCCUGCCCGGUGC